CUUUAGUUUGAAACCCCGAAACCAGGUGAGCUACCCCGAGACAGCCUAUUAAAAUAGGGCUAACCCGUCUCUGUGGCAAAAGAGUGGGAAGAGCUCCGGGUAGAAGUGACAGACCUACCGAAUCUGGUGAUAGCUGGUUGCCUGAGAGAUGGAUAAAAGUUCAGCCUCGCACACCCCCAAGUCAGAUAAUCCUUAUUUAAGACGAUGGGAGAAGUACGAAAGUUAGUUAAGGGGGGUACAGCCCCUUUAACAAAGGAUACAACCUUAACAGGAGGAUAAAGAUCAAAAUACCAAAAACACCCUGUUCUAGUGGGCCUAAAAGCAGCCACCUAAACAGAAAGCGUUAAAGCUCAGACAGAAGAAAGUUUAUUAUACCGAUAACAAAUCUUACUCCCCUAGUAAUAUCAGGCUAUCCCAUGCCCCCAUGGGAGAAAUUAUGCUAAAAUGAGUAACAAGAAGACUUGCUCUUCUCCGAGCACAAGUGUAAGCCAGAUCGGACAAACCGCUGGAAUCUAACGAACCCAAUUAACAGAGGGUAGUGUAGACAACAUAAAAACCAAGAAGAGCCUACAGCUCGGACAUCGUUAACCCCACACUGGAGUGCUAUAUUUAAAGGAAAGACUAAAAGAAGGGGAAGGAACUCGGCAAACACAAGCCUCGCCUGUUUACCAAAAACAUCGCCUCCUGCAACUGUAUAAGUAUAGGAGGUCCAGCCUGCCCAGUGACUAUGGGUUCAACGGCCGCGGUAUUUUGACCGUGCAAAGGUAGCGCAAUCACUUGUCUUUUAAAUAGAGACCUGUAUGAAUGGCCAAACGAGGGCUUAACUGUCUCCCCCUUCCAGUCAGUGAAAUUGAUCUAUCCGUGCAGAAGCGGGUAUAAAUAUACAAGACGAGAAGACCCUUUGGAGCUUAAGGUACAAAGUCCAACCAUGUUAAACGACUUAUUAAAGAGCAAGAACUUAAUGGAAAAUGGACACUUACCUUCGGUUGGGGCGACCGCGGAGGAAAAAAUAGCCUCCGAGUGGAAUGGGAAAAACCCCUAAAACUAAGAGAGACAUCUCUAAGCCACAGAACAUCUGACCAAAAAUGAUCCGGCACACAGUCGAUCAACGAACCAAGUUACCCUAGGGAUAACAGCGCAAUCCUCUCCCAGAGUCCAUAUCGACGAGGGGGUUUACGACCUCGAUGUUGGAUCAGGACAUCCUAAUGGUGCAGCCG
rnacentral:rRNA from 1 species